rnacentral:rRNA from 1 species
UACGAAGGGGGCUAGCGUUGUUCGGAAUCACUGGGCGUAAAGGGCGCGUAGGCGGCUUUAUAAGUCGGGGGUGAAAGCCUGUGGCUCAACCACAGAAUUGCCUUCGAUACUGUAGAGCUUGAGACCGGAAGAGGUAAGUGGAACUGCGAGUGUAGAGGUGAAAUUCGUAGAUAUUCGCAAGAACACCAGUGGCGAAGGCGGCUUACUGGUCCGGUUCUGACGCUGAGGCGCGAAAGCUAGGGGAGCAAAGCGGG